rnacentral:sRNA from 1 species
UUAAAAACCGCAAAACCGAAUGUUUUUUUUGGUUUUUGAUUAAAAUU